UACGUAGGUGGCAAGCGUUAUCCGGAAUUAUUGGGCGUAAAGCGCGCGCAGGCGGUUUCUUAAGUCUGAUGUGAAAGCCCACGGCCCAACCGUGGAAGUGCCUCCGAUACUGCGGGGCUCGAGGGAGGUAGGGGCAGCGGGAACUUCCGGUGGAGCGGUGAAAUGCGUUGAUAUCGGAAGGAACGCCGGUGGCGAAAGCGCGCUGCUGGACCUCUGCUGACGCUGAGGCGCGAAAGCCAGGGGAGCAAACGGG
rnacentral:rRNA from 1 species